CAUGUACUCCCUCCAUCCGGAAAUACUUGUCCGAGGAAUGGAUGUAUCUAGAUGUAUUUUAGUUCUAGAUACAUCCAUUUGUAUCAAUUUCUAUGACAAGUAUUUCUGGACGGAGGGAGUACGUA
rfam:Triticum aestivum genome assembly, contig: Triticum_aestivum_CS42_TGACv1_scaffold_570312_7AS